CUUGACCGAGCCCAGCCACAGCGGUUCGGCGCGGCCCUGGCCGUAGGUGGCCAGCAGCGCCUGGGCCUC
rnacentral:antisense_RNA from 2 species